GCUAGCCGCUUUGUGAGUUCAUAAUUCUACCUUACACAUAUGGCUUCCUUCACAAUUGUUUCUCUACAAGUUGGCCAAAGGAACACUGCAGUGUAGGGGAAAGCUCAAGGAAGAGCAGAGGGCAAAUGUAGAGGUCCUGGGAAUGAGGUGGUUUCUUGUGUCUUUUGACAAGGAGUAUGAGGCUUUGACAAGGAGUAACAACAGCUAUAAGGUUUCCUGGUUUCCUAUCCAAGGCAAAAGGAACAUCUUGGCUUCUCCCAGGGCUGUGGACGGAGAAGGCUUGGAGGAUAAGUUCUUGAAUGCCUGGGACAUUUCAAGGGCGUGCCUAUGAUACUGUCCCAUAUUUCUUCUCCCUCUGCUGCAUGCUAUAUCUGGGAAGCUGGAGACUAAAUAUAGUAUUCAGUAUGCCUUGAACUGGAAUGGAUGGAUAGACUGACGAUGGCUUUUAAAAUUAUGUAUCUACCAUGGCAUGAAUAUUCAUGUUUGUCUCAAAGAAAAUGUGUCCUUGGUUAUUCCAAGUUUUGUUAAUCUUGGGUCACUGUGUUGGAAGGAAAGGAAUGCUUGUAGUAUCAGAAAUAAAGCAAGGGGAAGCUUAACA
rnacentral:lncRNA from 1 species